AGAGUUUGAUCCUGGCUCAGGAUGAACGCUAGCGGGAGGCUUAACACAUGCAAGUCGAGGGGUAAGGAGAUAGCAAUAUUUCCCUAGACCGGCGCACGGGUGAGUAACGCGUAUGCAACCUGCCCUUUACGGGGGGAUAGCCCGGAGAAAUCCGGAUUAAUACCCCAUGGAUCUGCAGUCUCGCAUGAGACAACAGGUAAAGCUGAGGCGGUAAAGGAUGGGCAUGCGUGACAUUAGCUAGUUGGCGGGGUAACGGCCCACCAAGGCUACGAUGUCUAGGGGUUCUGAGAGGAAGGUCCCCCACACUGGUACUGAGACACGGACCAGACUCCUACGGGAGGCAGCAGUGAGGAAUAUUGGUCAAUGGGCGCGAGCCUGAACCAGCCAUCCCGCGUGCAGGAAGGAGGCCCUAUGGGUUGUAAACUGCUUUUGUGCAGGAAUAAAUGUACCCUCGUGAGGGUAUUUGAAGGUACUGCCAGAAUAAGCACCGGCUAACUCCGUGCCAGCAGCCGCGGUAAUACGGAGGGUGCAAGCGUUAUCCGGAUUUAUUGGGUUUAAAGGGUGCGUAGGCGGCAUUUUAAGUCAGUGGUGAAAACCUGCAGCUCAACUGUAGAACUGCCAUUGAAACUGAAGUGCUUGAGUUAUCUUGAGGUAGGCGGAAUGUGUAGUGUAGCGGUGAAAUGCUUAGAUAUUACACAGAACACCGAUUGCGAAGGCAGCUUACUAAGGAUACACUGACGCUCAGGCACGAAAGCGUGGGGAUCGAACAGGAUUAGAUACCCUGGUAGUCCACGCCGUAAACGAUGAUAACUCGCUGUUGGCGAUACACAGUCAGCGGCUUAGCGAAAGCGUUAAGUUAUCCACCUGGGGAGUACGCUCGCAAGAGUGAAACUCAAAGGAAAUUGACG
rnacentral:rRNA from 1 species